rnacentral:rRNA from 1 species
UACGAAGGGAGCUAGCGUUGUUCGGAAUCACUGGGCGUAAAGCGCACGUAGGCGGAUGUGUCAGUCAGGGGUGAAAUCCCGGAGCUCAACUUCGGAACUGCCUCUGAUACAGCACGUCUUGAGUCCGAUAGAGGUGGGUGGAAUUCCUAGUGUAGAGGUGAAAUUCGUAGAUAUUAGGAAGAACACCGGUGGCGAAGGCGGCCCACUGGAUCGGUACUGACGCUGAGGUGCGAAAGCGUGGAGAGCAAACAGG